rnacentral:rRNA from 1 species
UACGGGGGGGGCAAGCGUUGUUCGGAAUUACUGGGCGUAAAGGGCUCGUAGGCGGCCAACUAAGUCAGACGUGAAAUCCCUCGGCUUAACCGGGGAACUGCGUCUGAUACUGGAUGGCUUGAGUUCGGGAGAGGGAUGUGGAAUUCCCGGUGUAGCGGUGAAAUGCGUAGAUAUCGGGAGGAACAUCAGUGGCGAAGGCGGCUGCCUGGCCCAAUACUGACACUCAGGUGCGACAGCGUGGGGAGCAAACAGG